UACGUAGGGUGCAAGCGUUGUCCGGAAUUAUUGGGCGUAAAGAGCUCGUAGGUGACCUGUCGCGUCGGCUGUGAAAACUCGGGCUCAACUCCGAGCUUGCAGUCGAUACGGGCAGGCUAGAGUUCGGCAGGGGAGACUGGAAUUCCUGGUGUAGCGGUGAAAUGCGCAGAUAUCAGGAGGAACACCGGUGGCGAAGGCGGGUCUCUGGGCCGAUACUGACACUGAGAAGCGAAAGCGUGGGGAGCGAACAGG
rnacentral:rRNA from 1 species